rnacentral:RNase_P_RNA from 1 species
GUGAGUUGGGAAGACAGCAACCCGAGUUUUAUACACGGAGGAAGUUCUGCCCACCAAUAAAACAUCAUUCCAGUUGGAAUAAACUUGAGAGAGUUUAGGUUGUUCAAGAAGGCGACAUGUUUUCAAAGAACGUUUAACCGAUGUGGUGCAAGGUCAAGUAGGCUCUGAUGAUGAAAGAGGAGCGGGUAGACCGCUUAGACAAAUGCUGUCAAGCAAUCAAAUGAUCUUUCAACUGAAAGUAAUUUGCUUCACAAAAGGCAGACUAAUCCCAACACAC